rnacentral:misc_RNA from 1 species
UGAGGAAGACGAGCCGUGAUUAUCAUCAAGGUUUUAAGACCCUCAUCCAAGAUUACCUUCAAAAGCUGAGUUGUGCAACCGAGUUAACAUUAAGAACUUGUUCAACCAGGUUUGUGAUGUUUGUCAUUAGUACCCUGCAUAUCAAAACAGGGAUGCUUUUGCUUAGUUGUACAUAACUUGGUGCUGUCAAGUUAUUAAAUUACAUGUCCUUGCUAAAAAACUAGAGUCCUUAUUUUUUCAGAUUUAUUCUAGCAGACAGUUUCAGAAUGUUACUAUUAUCAGAUUUAGUCAUUUUCAAUCCCCA